UAAGAUGAGGGUAGUUUUUAUUUUGGC
rnacentral:sRNA from 1 species